CAUGCAUGUCUAAGUAUAAGCAAUUAUACCGUGAAACUGCGAAUGGCUCAUUAAAUCAGUUAUCGUUUAUUUGAUAGUACCUUACUACUUGGAUAACCGUGGUAAUUCUAGAGCUAAUACAUGCUAAAAACCUCGACUUCGGGAGGGGUGUAUUUAUUAGAUAAAAAACCAAUGCCCUUCGGGGCUCUUUGGUGAUUCAUGAUAACUUCUCAGAUCGCAUGGCCUUGCGCCGGCGACGGUUCAUUCAAAUUUCUGCCCUAUCAACUUUCGAUGGUAAGGUAUUGGCUUACCAUGGUUUCAACGGGUAACGGGGAAUUAGGGUUCGAUUCCGGAGAGGGAGCCUGAGAAACGGCUACCACAUCCAAGGAAGGCAGCAGGCGCGCAAAUUACCCAAUCCCGACACGGGGAGGUAGUGACAAUAAAUACUGAUACAGGGCUCUUUUGGGUCUUGUAAUUGGAAUGAGUACAAUUUAAACCUCUUAACGAGGAACAAUUGGAGGGCAAGUCUGGUGCCAGCAGCCGCGGUAAUUCCAGCUCCAAUAGCGUAUAUUAAAGUUGUUGCAGUUAAAAAGCUCGUAGUUGAACCUUUGGCCUGGCUGGCAGGUCCGCCUCACCGCGUGCACUUGUCCGGCCGGGCCUUCUCUUCUGGGGAACCGCAUGCCCUUCACUGGGUGUGUUGGGGAACCAGGACUUUUACUUUGAAAAAAUUAGAGUGUUCAAAGCAGGCCUUUGCUCGAAUACGUUAGCAUGGAAUAAUAGAAUAGGACGUGCGGUCCUAUUUUGUUGGUUUCUAGGACCGCCGUAAUGAUUAAUAGGGACAGUCGGGGGCAUCAGUAUUCAAUUGUCAGAGGUGAAAUUCUUGGAUUUAUUGAAGACUAACUACUGCGAAAGCAUUUGCCAAGGAUGUUUUCAUUAAUCAGUGACGAAAGUUAGGGGAUCGAAGACGAUCAGAUACCGUCGUAGUCUUAACCAUAAACUAUGCCGACUAGGGAUCGGGCGGCGUUUCUAUUUUGACCCGCUCGGCACCUUACGAGAAAUCAAAGUGUUUGGGUUCUGGGGGGAG
rnacentral:rRNA from 1 species